GACAGCAGCUCGCACGGGAUGCAGCUCUCCUCAGUGAUACCAGGGGCUGUGCAGAACAGCAGGGAAAGUGGAGGAGCUACACCAAGUUCCUAGUAUGACUUGUCACACGUGCGUGUGUUGCUCUAGGCAACCUUCUACAAGUGGAAGUGUGGCCCUCAUCAUGGACCCCCCCCCAGGACUGGAUUUCACAGCUCAUCACAGUCUGAGGCUGCACCAGAAAUCCUGCUGGGAGAGCCACCAGUUCCCUGAGCUCAGUGUGGAUCUGGAAUUCAUUGAUGCAGUUGACAGCAAAACUACCCUGAGAUUUCUCAAAGGCAAAAAACUUACAUUUAUGUCUUUAUUUGUAAAUGCAUUUCUGAAAGACGUCAUGUGAAUUGUAUUUAGUAAGAUCCUUAAAGAAUUUUUACUACCUCAGCAUUAAAUACAGAGAAUCCUACUUGAGCAGAAAUAAUGUCAUCUCUUUCUUUCUAAGGAAGCCUGUUUGACUUGACAAAACAUGUAUUGUCAAAGGCAUGGCAGGCACAGAUGACUUGGGAGAUAACAUAGUACAAGCAGUCAUAAGAUCUGAAACUCAGAGAACAACCAGAAAUUCCCAUACAACUUCUAUUCUUAUGCUAUAUUUCUUGUGAAUGUAUGAAUAUUUAUAGAAAUGCCAAAAUCAUGAGAAUAAUCUUACCUUCACAAAUUUUCUUUUCUUUUUUUUUUUUUUCAGCCUGUAUACCAUUAUCGUUCCACUCAGUUUUCUUUGAUAACUGUAGCUAGUCUACGGUAGUUGCUGUGUAUGACUACAUAGUGAUUUUUGCUGAUCUUGAAGACUUCUAAUAUAAUUAAAAAUAAAUAAAUAAUAAUAAUUAAUAUCUACCUGUCAGAUAUUGCUUCUUCAGUAAUGAACUAAAAUCAAAAUUAUCACUUUUGAGGGCGUUUGCCAAAACCAAAAUAAAAGCCAGAAAUAAAUUCAUCUGUAACCAGGUCAACUUAUCUCACAGCACUUGCUGUAAAAGCAUGAAUGAAAUAAUGUUCCCUGGGUAAUUCUGUGAUGACCAACUUUUUAUAUGCAAACAUUGCAAACAAUUAGGAUUAAUUCAUAGCUUCCAGUAAUACUGACUAUAUCUCAUAGGGCAGGUCUGGCAAACCCCUCCAUGUCAGUCCUUAGGGGACUGUGACCUGAGGGUAAAUUAGGGCAAGCCUUGAGGACCACCAUCUCCCUCAGUGCCUGGCUCACUGGAGGAAACCCACAAAACAGUCAGAAAGGGAGAUGCAGCAGGUCUGUGGAGCACAGCUGGUCUGUAGUAAGCUACAAACAGCUACACAGUAGUUAAUCCCACAGGAGCAGUAUGAACAAAAUCAGCAGUUCUCAGGACAAUGCUACGAUUUGGGUUUAGCAAGGAAAGUGCUGAUAACAGAGACGUAACAGAGCCAUCCAUAAUACUACAAAUAAAAAACUAUAUGGCAUUUUUCUUUAUUGGUUUGGGAUUUUUUUCAGUUUAUCAGUAUCCAUAAAGAACAGAUGGAUUGUUUGGAAAUGGUUUAAUUUCUCUAAAGAGAUAGAGAUCCCAGAAGUUUUUAUUCCUUCAGCUAAUGCCGACAGAUAUUCCUGGAUGCUCAGUACCUUUCAAAAUCAGGUCACAGAAAAGAGAUAGAUCAGGGCCUAAUUUUCAGCUAUCUUAAAAAAGGAUCUGGGUUACAGUCUUGAGAAGUAGAAAACUUGUAAGAAGUUUGUAUAGUCUUUCUGCUCUGUAUAGUAAAGUGGCAUGUGGUAUUUUCUGUAGGUGCACACACUCACUUUACAGCCAAUCUGAAACAUGUUCAGAUCAUAUAAUACUCAGCAAUGUCUCUGCCCUCUUUGAAUGAGUUUAGGCAACUAUGCCCAAGCCUAUGGAUGUAUUUAGGUGCCUGAUGACCAAUGCAAUCAUUGGAGCUGGGAAUUUAAUUAUCUUCACAUACCCAGGACAGAAUGGUGGAAAACAGUCUGUUGAUACACCUUUCUACAGCUAUCAAGGGCAAUGCCAAAACCAGUGACUGCUGUGAACAGCAAGGCUGGGACUCGCUCAGGAACACUGCAAGUCACAGUGUGGAUACAGCUAGGAUGAAAGGGCACCCCUCAUCUGCUGGAAUCCUCUCCCAGAAGCCAACACGGCCACGGCUUUCAGUCUGCACAGGACAUUCACAAAAGCAAACCUGCAGCAGCAUGUACCCAGAGGAGGCCCACCACACCCAAACAUGCCAGGCCAGCUGCACACACCGCCCAGGUGUAUCACAGAGCCCAUUCUUCACCAUUACCAUGCAGGAUCAGGCCCUGCUUCUGCUUGAAGCUGCCCAUGUUCUUGUAUGGGCCUGUAUUUCACCAAUGUUCAGAGACAAACUUGUGCAUGAAUUAUUCAAAAGGAUCUGUAAAAUUAGUUUUGAAAACUGUAAAAUACUGUUCUGACAACAGCUGGUCAUAUCUCCCAUGGUUUCAUUACCUCAAAUGAACCUGAAGAAUCAGGAAAUGUUUUGCUUCAGUUUCUCAUUGAACCAAUGAAAAAGAAAUGUGUUCUUCCUGAUGCUUCACCUGUGAGUGAUCAGGUCUGCAGGCAGCACUUCUGCCAUUUCCCGGAGCUACAGAAGGGCAGACACCAGCCAAGGGGGACAACACUUGGGCACUGCCCCUAAUACGGUCAACAGAGCUGCCCUCUGGCAUUGGUACUUGGAUAAGCCUGGGUGCAUUUCUCAUUUGAGUCCCAGUUCUGCCACUGCUGAGUUAACAAGAGUUUGUGAUGGGGCAUGUUCAGGCUUCCAACACAUUAGGAAUAAUGCUAAUGAUAUUAUAUGUUUUGUCUGCAUUAUGGCCUGGUGCUUAGAAAAUAAGCAUCUUGGCUUUGUCUCAAUGUUUAUCUUCAAUAAAUACCUCAGCUUUGUCUCAACAAUUAUCUCUCCACAGCAGACCAUUAUCCAGUAGCAACAUAUAAUUCAU